GUCAGUAGCUUGGCUUUUUCUGAACACAACACCUGAAAGCAGUACUGAGCUCUCUGGCCUUGAAUUGCACAAACUCCUGACCUGGACUCUGGAUUACCAGCAGCAAAUGGACAUAUUGAACACCACUUUGUAGUGUGACACAUAGAUUUCUCAUCAUGUUAUUCUAACAUAUUUUCAUCCGUUUAAAGCACAUGGAAGGCACAUCAUCAAAAUUAUGGAGUCGGUCUAUGUGAAGAUUUUGACUUGGGGUCCCACCUGGAUUGAGAAAAUUCAGUAUCUUGACAGGAACAUGCCUAUAAUCAUUGAGCUCAGAUCAGGGGAGGGACGCCUUAUUGAGGUGUACUGGAAAGAGCCGCUGAGUGAUACCGGGACAUCUGUAUAAUAACCUGUUGUCAACUGAAGAUGAGCUCUUCUAUUCUAUUGUGCUGUGUUACAAUAAAGAAAAAAAUAAACUGAACCAUUUCUAAAGAAUGCUAAUUGUAUAAUGUGAAUUUAAAAAAUAAGAGCUGGUCUGAGAGGUGGAAAUAUGGACAGAAAAGUAGCAAAUAAAAUAUUUCUUCCCAUAUUGUUUUUUUUUUUUUUGUCUCUUUAUGCACAAAACAUACCUAAAUUGACACAACUAUUCAUCCUAUUUUAAAGUUUUUUUUUUUUUGCUAAACUGCAAACUUCAGUGGAGAUUCUAAGAUUGUAUGUGAAAGAACACAAAAUAGUGCCUGAUUGUUAAGUGAGAAGAAAAUUAUACUUCUUUUUUUUUUUUUUUGCCACAAAAUAUUUUUGUGGCAUUCAUUUAUUUUCACCCUCGUGGAGCACAUGUAGCUGCAGUUACCAGCAAAAUAUAUUAGUUUAUUUCUAUAAAAGCUUUGCACACCUAGAAGCUCAAACCAUUUCCAAUUCUUUUUUGCAAAAAAAGCUCAAACUUUGUCAGAUUAGAUAGAGAGCUCCAUAUGUCACUUACUUUUUCCUGGUCUGUUUCUUUCCUUUACCUCUAAAAACAAAGUAUUUUUGAAAAAAUUGUUUUGCUUUUUGUAUAUUAGAAACAGAUAGGGAAAAAAUGACAGACAUGAAUAUUUUGGGAGGGCUACGACUGCAGCACAUGUUGGAAUGUGAUUGUUUAUUUAGGGGCAUGUCGGUGAAGCACAUCUGUUCCUUGAAGUGAAUUUGGUCUCCCGUUCAGUUGUCAGAUUGGUGGAUCAACAUGUGUAUUCUGCAUGCUGACACAAAGUCUCGGGUACAUGUUGCAGAAAAAUGAACUGUAGAUGCCAGGACAAAAUUCACAUGUUAAUUAGUAUUUUUGUCCAGGGUUUACGUUACACACUGCUACAAAUUCAGUAAAAAUGUUAUUUACAUAAUAGCAGUUUACAGUGAGGGUAAAGUCAGUUUCUUGCCUCAUUUCUGUUUAUAAUGUACAUUUCAAAGCCUGUGACUGACCAGAUUUAAGAAUUCAGACUUGUCAUUGAACCAACUGUGUGAGAAAUCUGAUUUUGCAACACUGUGUGAAUAUAAUUGCAGUUCUGAUU